rnacentral:rRNA from 1 species
CGCGCAGGUGGCAUGGUAAGUGGCAGGUGAAAUCCCCCGGCUCAACCGGGGAACCGCCUGCCAAACUGCCGUGCUUGAGGCUGGGAGGGGAGAGCGGAAUUCCUGGUGUAGCGGUGAAAUGCGUAGAUACCAGGAGGAACACCGGUGGCGAAGGCGGCUCUCUGGACCAGUUCUGACGCUCAUGCGCGAAAGCGUGGGGAGCAAACAGGAUUAGAUACCCUGGUAGUCCACGCCCUAAACGAUGGGCACUAGGCGUCGCGGGUGUCGACCCCUGCGGUGCCGUAGCUAACGCGUUAAGUCGCCCCGCCUGGGGAGUACGGUCGCAAGGCUGAA